rnacentral:rRNA from 1 species
AUACGAAGGGGGCUAGCGUUGUUCGGAAUUACUGGGCGUAAAGCGCGCGUAGGCGGACUGAUCAGUUGGGGGUGAAAUCCCAGGGCUUAACCCUGGAACUACCUCCAAUACUGUCAGUCUUGAGUUCGGGAGAGGUGAGUGGAAUUCCUAGUGUAGAGGUGAAAUUCGUAGAUAUUAGGAAGAACACCAGUGGCGAAGGCGGCUCACUGGCCCGAUACUGACGCUGAGGCGCGAAAGCGUGGGGAGCAAACAGGAUUAGAAACCCUAGUAGUCC